UACGAGUGCCCAAGCGUUAUCCGGAAUUAUUGGGCGUUAAAGGGUGUGUAGGUGGUCGUAUUAGUCUGGCGUUAAAUUCUUUGGCUUAACCAAAGACAUGCGUGGGAAACGGUACGACUAGAAGAUGCGAGGGGUGAAUGGAACUCAUAGUGGAGGGGUGGAAAUCCGUUGAUAUUAUGGGGAACACCAAAAGCGAAGGCAAUUCACUGGCGUAUUCUUGACACUGAAACACGAAAGCGUGGGUGAGCGAAUGGG
rnacentral:rRNA from 1 species